CCUACGGGAGGCAGCAGUGGGGAAUAUUGCACAAUGGGCGAAAGCCUGAUGCAGCAACGCCGCGUGAGCGAUGAAGGCCUUCGGGUCGUAAAGCUCUGUCCUCAAGGAAGAUAAUGACGGUACUUGAGGAGGAAGCCCCGGCUAACUACGUGCCAGCAGCCGCGGUAAUACGUAGGGGGCUAGCGUUAUCCGGAAUUACUGGGCGUAAAGGGGGCGUAGGUGGUUUCUUAAGUCAGGGGUGAAAGGCUACAGCUCCACCGUAGUAAGCCUUUGAAACUGGGGAACGUGAGUGCAGGAGAGGAGAGUGGAAUUCCUAGUGUAGCGGUGAAAUGCGUAGAUAUUAGGAGGAACACCAGUUGCGAAGGCGGCUCUCUGGACUGUAACUGACACUGAGGCACGAAAGCGUGGGGAGCAAACAGGAUUAGAUACCCCGGUAGUC
rnacentral:rRNA from 1 species